CGGUAGCACGUAGGAGCUUGCUCCCUUGCUGACGAGUGGCGGACGGGUGAGUAAUGCUUGGGAAUCUGGCUUAUGGAGGGGGAUAACUACUGGAAACGGUAGCUAAUACCGCGUAAUAUCGAGAGAUUAAAGGGUGGGACUUUCGGGCCACCUGCCAUAAGAUGAGCCCAAGUGGGAUUAGGUAGUUGGUGGGGUAAAGGCCUACCAAGCCUGCGAUCUCUAGCUGGUCUGAGAGGAUGGCCAGCCACACUGGAACUGAGACACGGUCCAGACUCCUACGGGAGGCAGCAGUGGGGAAUAUUGCACAAUGGGGGGAACCCUGAUGCAGCCAUGCCGCGUGAAUGAAGAAGGCCUUCGGGUUGUAAAGUUCUUUCGGUGAUGAGGAAGGCAGGUAUUUUAAUAGAAUACUUGAUUGACGUUAGUCACAGAAGAAGCACCGGCUAACUCCGUGCCAGCAGCCGCGGUAAUACGGAGGGUGCGAGCGUUAAUCGGAAUAACUGGGCGUAAAGGGCACGCAGGCGGAUUGUUAAGUGAGAUGUGAAAGCCCCGAGCUUAACUUGGGAAUUGCAUUUCAGACUGGCAGUCUAGAGUAUUUUAGGGAGGGGUAGAAUUCCACGUGUAGCGGUGAAAUGCGUAGAGAUGUGGAGGAAUACCGAAGGCGAAGGCAGCCCCUUGGGAA
rnacentral:rRNA from 1 species